GAUAAACCAUCUAUUAUAUGCAUAUGCACAGCUUGGACUGCCGUAGUAGACGGGUGGUUGCCAGUACAAAGGUGGAGUAGGAAUCUGGUGAAUCGGUUGUGGAAAGGGUAGGUAAUUAUUGGGAAAAGGUUGAGGGUAAAAUGAUUGGGAAAAGGUUGAGGGUAAAAAUGAUUGGGAGAAGGUUGAGGGUAAAACGUAGGCAUGCUAGGAUAUGGAGGAAUAGGGGAAC